CUACCCGGGUAUCUAAUCCUGUUUGCUCCCCACGCUUUCGUGCAUGAGCGUCAGUAUUGGCCCAGGGGGCUGCCUUCGCCAUCGGUAUUCCUCCACAUCUCUACGCAUUUCACUGCUACACGUGGAAUUCUACCCCCCUCUGCCAUACUCUAGCCCGCCAGUCACAAAUGCAGUUCCCAGGUUAAGCCCGGGGAUUUCACAUCUGUCUUAGCGGACCGCCUGCGCACGCUUUACGCCCAGUAAUUCCGAUUAACGCUUGCACCCUACGUAUUACCGCGGCUGCUGGCAC
rnacentral:rRNA from 1 species